AGGUUCGUACGAAGUUCGUUCUGAAAUGCAGUGGUUGGUGUAUUGUAUAGUUCUAGAGAUUGUAUUUCACUCAAAACCCACCAAAUGACUCCUCCCACAAUAUUAUGAUGUUCCCCAAGUUUUGGACUCAAUCCGAUAUCGAUUGGUCCUUGAAAUCGGACAAUUCAGGUUCGUACGAAGUUCGUUCUGAAAUGGGGUGGUUGGUGUAUUGUAUAGUUCUAGAGAUUGGAUUCACUCAAAACCCAACCAAAUGACUCCUCCCACAAUAUUAUGGCGUUCCCCAAGUUUUGGACUCAAUCCAAUAUCGAUUGGUCUUGAAAUCGGACAAUUCAGGUUCGUACGAAGUUCGUUCUGAAAUGGGGUGGUUGGUGUAUUGUAUAGUUCUAGAGAUUGGAUUUCACUCAAAACCCACCAAAUGACUCCUCCCAAAAUAUUAUGAUGUUCCCCAAGUUUUGGACUCAAUCCGUUACCGAUUGGUCAAUGAAAUCGGACAAUUCAGGUUCGUACGAAUUUCGUUCCGAAAUGGGGUGGUUGGUGUAUUGUAUAGUUCUAGAGACUGGAUUUCACUCAAAACCCACCAAAUGACUCCUCCCACAAUAUUAUGAUGUUCCCCAAGUUUUGGACUCAAUUCGUUAUCGACUGGUCAAUGAAAUCGGAAAAUUCAGGUUGGUACGAAGUUCGUUCUGAAAUGGGGUGGUUGGUGUAUUGUAUAGUUCUAGAGAUUGGAUUUCACUCAAAUCCCACCAAAUGACUCCUAACAAAAUAUUAUGGUGG
rnacentral:lncRNA from 1 species